AGUAUUCAACCCUGUUGACUACUCUCCCCUUGAAAUAAUUUCUUUCCUUUUCAAAUCUCUGUGGGCCAGAGAACACCUUUGGGAGUGGCUGGAGACCCUGGUUGGGAGGUCCUGUCCAGUGAGGAGGAAUGGGAUUGGGGACCUGCUUUAAAAAGCAGUCUGGCCGUGUUUUUAAGGAUGCAGCUGUGCUGUGCAUGGGGAUUGCUUCUGCCUCUGGUCAGCUUGGACUCUCCAAAACCCAAAGGCUGGAACAGCUUUGCUCUUUCGCCCAAACAGCAAAAAUGGUGGCCUGCCCCUCCCCACUUGGAACUCUGUCUCAGGGAUGUCUAACACUGCUACCCGUGGCUGGCUAGAAUUCCAAGCCAGUGGGUCUUAUCCUGUAGGUUGCCAUGGAAGCAGGGCCUGCAGACUGCCACUGCCUAGCCCCCUGGAUUCAGCCUCUUUCCUAGGGUUACGUGUGGGGGUCUAACCUGCCACUUUGCCAGAGUUGCAACUACCUUUGCUGGGAAGCCCAGUUAUCUUAAGUCUCCCGGGUCUCCAUGUGUGCCUGAGUGGCUGUUCUGCCGAGAUUCCAUAUAGCUCUGUGUGUCAGACUGAAGGUCUUGGUGGGGUAGGUUCAUGAGGAGAAUUUCCUGACCCAAGGGUUGCAAAGACCCUUGGGAGAAGCAUGGGUUUCCAGGGUCGCACAUUCACUCACCACUUCCCUAGGGGCAGGGGAGGUUCCCCUGGCUCCAUAUUGCUCCUGGGUGGGCCAUCAUCCUGCCUUGCUUUUCUCUGUUCUCUGUGUAUUGAGUUGUUUCCUUGAUUAUUCUCAAUGUGUGUACCUGGAUGUUUCAACUGAAGGUGCUGUAUUUACUCACCCCUUCCAUUCUCUUUGUGAGAGAUGCACACACUAGCUGUUU
rnacentral:lncRNA from 1 species